GGGGCGGUAGCUCAAUUGGGAGAGCGCUGCGUUCGCAAUGCAGAGGUCGAGGGUUCGACUCCCUUCCGCUCCA
rnacentral:tRNA from 1 species